GUUAUGGGACAUUAGUAGAGCACUUGACUUUUAAUCAAGUUGUCGGGGGUUCGAGUCCCCCAUGU
rnacentral:tRNA from 1 species